AUGUAUGUAUGUUUAGAUGUUGUACCAUAAUUAAAACUCUAAACCAUACUAUGGUUUUACAAUCAUUUUUGAAUGAACGUCAAACUAGAGGAUCCUGGGAAACGACGGCGGUACAAAACGUGGUUCUCGUCCGCCAUUUCUGUCAUUUCACAGAGGACUCUGCAUGGGGUAGGAACGGAGUGCCGCCUGAGCACGUGUCUGACAAAAUGGCUUCAGCUUUGUUCCCUAUCGGGUAUCUGCUGGAAUCGGGAUGACCCCCAGGUGUGCCGAACUCAUCAGUGAGAUUCUAACACAGGUCUGCUUCUAGCAUCAAACCACUAAGGGCUGCUCCUGUUGGUGUUUCAUGGAUCUGCCAUUUGGCUGGAAUAGGACCAGCCCUUGCAGGUUUGUCUGAAAGCUAAUGGAAAAUGUGGGAAAAGAUCUCGACACUCAAGGCUGUACUAUAAACCAAGAGUGAACCCAUGAUAUUUCACAUGAAAGGGUCUUCAGUGGGAGUGAGGUUUACUGAAGACAGUGCUGAAUGAUGACACUACACGGCUCCCUUUGUGAAGGAUUCAGUAUUGUUAAACUGUGGAUUGUAGUGGUGCCCCCCCCGUGUGGGUGUGCACACCAUAUGUAAUACCCUUUUUUUGGGGGGGGGGAGGUCCACACAAUAAAGCCUUACCACUAACUGCA